rnacentral:lncRNA from 1 species
CGUUAUCGAGACGACGCAUCGUAAUAUUAUUAUUGGUAUCGAGAGAUUGAGGAGGGGUCAAGUAAUUUAGGAAAAGAUGACUUAAACUUGAGGAUACUGUACCUCUAGCUGCCCUAACCUCAGCCAAUUUCACCUGUAUAAUUGCAUGCAAAUAAAAGAAAAAAAUAAUUUUGAGAAAAAAAUAAAUGAAUAAAAUCCAUAAAUAUAACUACUUUUCGAUUUUUUUUAUUAAGAAUAACAAUAAUCAUGAAAUUUCAAAUUUCAUACGUGAAAUCUCUCAAAAUUGUCAUGAAAUUUCAUAUAUAAAAUAUAAAAUUCUACGACUUUGACGACUGAUGAAAUAAAAAAAAGAACAUGUUUGAAAAGUAACCAAUGUGUAUUAUAUUUUUAUGGACUAAAUUUAAAUAUCUACUCGUAACAAAAAAAUUUUUUUUUUUUUUUGAAUAAAAAAAAACAUUCAAUUGGAAAUUAAAUUAAAGUGUAAGAGAAAAAGGAAAAAUACUUUGGCUCUUAAUUCUUCCACAUUUGACUUUAGCACUCUAUUAUUUGUCAAAGAUUCUUUAUAUUGUUGUGUAGCAUCUGCUAAUUGUUUAAACAAUGCUUCAUUUUCACCUCUAAAUUGAUCAACCUGA